rnacentral:rRNA from 1 species
CAGUCGCCACGGUAAUACGUAGGGUCCGAGCGUUGUCCGGAAUUAUUGGGCGUAAAGGGCUCGUAGGCGGUUUGUCGCGUCGGGAGUGAAAACCAGCAGCUUAACUGCUGGCCUGCUUUCGAUACGGGCAGACUUGAGGCAUUCAGGGGAGAACGGAAUUCCUGGUGUAGCGGUGAAAUGCGCAGAUAUCAGGAGGAACACCGGUGGCGAAGGCGGUUCUCUGGGAAUGUUCUGACGCUGAGGAGCGAAAGUGUGGGGAGCGAACAGGAUUAGAUACCCGCGUAGUCCCUGUCUCUUAUAA